rnacentral:rRNA from 1 species
AUUGAACGCUGGCGGCAUGCUUUACACAUGCAAGUCGGACGAGUGGCGAACGGGUGAGUAACGCAUCGGAACGUGCCGAGUAAUGGGGGAUAACUGUCCGAAAGGACAGCUAAUACCGCAUAUUAUUCGAGGGGCAGACGUCUGAUUAGCGGGUGGGCGGGGUAAAGGCCCCCCAAGGCGCCGAUCAGUAGCGGGGCUGAGAGGAUGAUCCGCCACACUGGGACUGAGACACGGCCCAGACUCCUACGGGAGGCAGCAGUGGGGAAUUUUGGACAAUGGGCGCAAGCCUGAUCCAGCCAUGCCGCGUGUCUGAAGAAGGCCUUCGGGUUGUAAAGGACUUGCAGCGGGGAGGCGGUACCUGAAGAAUAAGCACCGGCUAACUACGUGCCAGCAGCCGCGGUAAUUC